UUGGUGAUCAGAAUCAUUUACGAGGAGUCUCCUGUCAUUGUGGCAGGAGCCCUCCAGACCAGAGUGCAGGACUUGCUGUCCUGCAGCCUUCCUGAGGCUCCUCUGUCUCAGGUGUCUUCAAGGGUCAACUGCAAUUGUUGACUUGGAUAUAUCCUGAGGCAUCUCUCUAGAAGGUGCCUUCAAGGCUAGCUGGUGGAAUGGCGGGCAGAUUUCUCAGCCUGUGCAAAGUGUUCAGGAGGGGAAAAAAGAACGGCCCUGGAGUUGCCCCAGCACAACAGCCUGAAGAGCCAGAGCAGAUCCAGACACUGCAGGAUGAUGCAGCCCUGGGCCGGACACAAGAGCGGGAACCCGCCCGUGGCCGCUUCCGCAGAACCCUGAAGAUGUUCCGGAGGUUCCUGCACAU